CCUACGGGUGGCAGCAGUGGGGGAUAUUGCACAAUGGGGGAAACCCUGAUGCAGCGACGCCGCGUGUGGGAAGACGGUCCUCUGGAUUGUAAACUACUGUCCCCAGGGACGAAAAUGACGGUACCUGGGGAGGAAGCUCCGGCAAACUACGUGCCAGCAGGCGCGGUAAUACGUAGGGAGCGAGCGUUGUCCGGAAUUACGGGGUGUAAGGGGAGCGUAGGCGGGGAUGCAAGUUGGGGGUCAAAACUACGGGCUCAACUGGUAGUCGCACUCAAAACUGCAGCUCUUGAGUGAAGUUGAGGCAGGCGGAAUUCCUGGUGUAGCGGUGAAAUGCGUAGAGAUUAGAAAGAACACCGGUGGCGAAGGCAGCCUACUAGGCUUUUCCUGACGCUGAGGCUCGAAAGUGUGGGGAGCAAACAGGAUUAGAUACCCCUGUAGUC
rnacentral:rRNA from 1 species